rnacentral:rRNA from 1 species
GUAGGGAAUAUUGGGCAAUGGUCGGAAGACUGACCCAGCCAUGCCGCGUGCAGGAAGACGGCCCUCUGGGUUGUAAACUGCUUUAUCUGGGAAGAAAAAGGCCAUGCGUGGCAAAUUGCCGGUACCAGAUGAAUAAGCACCGGCUAACUCCGUGCCAGCAGCCGCGGUAAUACGGAGGGUGCGAGCGUUGUCCGGAUUUAUUGGGUUUAAAGGGUGCGUAGGCGGCUGAUUAAGUCAGCGGUGAAAGACUUCGGCUUAACCGGAGCAGUGCCGUUGAUACUGGUUGGCUUGAGUGUCGGAGGGGUACAUGGAAUUGAUGGUGUAGCGGUGAAAUGCAUAGAUACCAUCAGGAACAACGAUAGCGAAGGAAUUGUACUGGCCGACAACUGACGCUGAUGCACGAAAGUGUGGGGAUCGAACAGGAUUAGAUACCCCAGUAGUCC